CUAUCCUGUCCACUCCGUCCCGGGACCGGCUCGAGCGGCCGCUGCCCCAGCACGUCACCCCCACCAUCCCCCAGCCCGGUACGGACCCGGACGCGGUCGCGCCACCGCUACCUGCAGCUAGGUGCAGUGCUCCUUUGGUGAGGAUCUCCUACCUCCCAAUGUCCUGGACCUUCCUACUGGUGGAGGAGCAAAGAGGAUACUCACGGACUCUUCCGCUCAGCCCUGCAGUGUUUGAACAUCUGCUGGAAGCCAGCCCUCUGCAGGGUCUUUGAGGGGAUGAAAUACCAGCCUCUGAGCACCAGAUGCCUAUUAGUCUUUGUCGCUGAGCAAGAAGAAUAGAGAGUCCAUGGCAUUCACUUUGUUUGGCCUGCCAGAUCUCCACUUACAAUUUUUAUUAGAGUGGGGCUGAAGGGAAUGCUACUAGAUGAAAACCCAGGCCUACAAAAAAAUAAUAAAA